AAUUUACGCGUUCGACCCGCGUAACGUCAUUUCCGACUUUUCUAUGACAGAUACAUGUGCAUCAUAGAUGAUAUAGUCGUCCGUUUUUGAUCAAACUAACAUUGGUACAUACUGAAUAAGAAUGUGAACUACACUUCAGUUCCACAAUUCAUCGCUACUGGAAAACAUAACAAAAUCAUCGGAUACGCCAGCAGAGCCAACUGCUUCGGCUGCAAAGUCGACGAUCUCCCGACUCUCUCGCGCGCGAUCACUCUCCAAAUAAUUUAGGCUGAUGAAAAUUCAAUGACAAUGUCAUUUUUAAUAAAUAGGUGAUGAUUUUUGAAGGAAAUUCAUCAAAUUCUUGCCGACUGCUAAGCCGACGCGAGCGCAUAAGCAUCAUAAGAAACUAUGAAUUUGUGACAUGCAGAGACAAAUUAUGCACAUAUGUAUGUACAUACAUAGGUACAUAGGUACAUAGUGAACGAGCAAAAGGAAAAUAAUACUAAGAGAAAGAAAUAGACUAACGCAUUCCUUUUCUAAAAGGCACAUUUUUUCGCCCUUUUUUCGCGAAAUCACUUGCGAUUUGAUUUUUGUGAGAAGCAAACGCGAUUUUUAUUGAGUGCCAGUUUCGAAGAAAAUAGUAAGAAAAUUAUUUUAAAUUAAAUUUUUAAUUAUUUUCAAAUUUAAUUCAUCAAUUUUGUGAGAAGCAAACGCGAUUUUAAUUGAUUUUAAACUGGCACCAAUUUCAAAGAAAAUAGUAAUGGAUUCAUUUUAUAAAAGCAACAAAUACAACUCACAUAAGAGAUUCGACCAGCUCCGACGUAUACUAAGUGCAGUAGACUUUAAAACUGAGAUACUAGACCAGCAUGCGUUGAAACGGACGUUCGGGCAGACA